rnacentral:lncRNA from 1 species
CUACCCUGGUACCUAGAGAGACCAAUACAGACAGACCAUACUACCCUGGUACCUAGAGAGACCAAUACAGAUGUACCAUAAUACUAAGGCUAACCAGAGCUGCCCGUACUACUAUGACUGAAAUAGAGUUUGUGUCACAAAUCCCACCCUUUUCCUGAUAUAGUGCCCUUCUGAACAGGGCCCAUAGGGCUUUGGUCAACAGUAGUGCACCAUGCAGGGAAUAAAGUGCAGUUUGGGACGUAAACAAAUAUAUUUUGUUUCAAAACUUCCAACUGGCAUAAAAUUCCAGUAAUAAUAGCAAUUUACUGGAUGGAAAAUCUGGUUUGAAAUACAUUACAUACUAUGAUAUAAUUAUAUGCUGAACUGCUCAGUAUGAACAACUUAAUGUUUUUUGGAAUAAUUGUAAACAGAAAAAGUACUGACUUGGCGUUUUGUCUAUGAUAGCAUUUGGUCACACGUGAGUGCUACUGUAUUAAACAGCUACGGUACAGUACAGUACAGUGACUGUUCAUUACAAAUCUGUGGUCCAAAAUCUCAGCAUAAAUCCUCUACCAAUUAUUCCAUAGCUCUGUCAGCCCUCUCACGGUUCACUUAAAGUACACUGAGCAGAAAGAACAUUCCUGUCAGAGCAUCUGUUUAGUAGAGCACUACACAUCUCUAGGUUCAGACCAGAGAGAUUUAGGUUUUGACAAGAGACACAGAUGUUGAAGGUUGUAGUAGCCUGAAGGAGGGAAGGAGAAGCGAAGGAGGGAGGGAAGAAUAGUUGGAGGGAGGGAAGAAGAGUAGGAGGGAGAGAAGAAGAGUAGGAGGGAGGGAAGAAGAGUAGUAGGGAGAGAAGAAGAGAAGGAGGGAGAGAAGAAGAGUAGGAGGGAGAGAAGAAGAGUAGGAGGGAGGGAAGAAGAGUAGGAGGGAGAGAAGAAGAGUAGGAGGGAGGGAAGAAGAGUAGGAGGGAGGGAAGAUGAGUAGGAGAGAAGUAGGAGGGGGGAAGAAAAGUAGGAGGGAGAGAAGAAGAUUAGGAGGGAAGUAGGAGGGAGAGAAGAGUAGGAGGGGAGAAGAAGAGUAGAAGGGAGCGAAGAAGAGUAGGAGGGAGAGAAGAAGAGUAGAAGGGAAGAAGAGUAGGAGGGAGGGAAGAAGUGUAGGAGGGAAGAAGAGUAGGAGGAAGAAGAGUAGGAGGGGGAGAAGAAGAGUAGAAGGGAGGGAAGAAAAGUAGGAGGGAGAGAAGAAGUGUAAGAGGAAUGAAGAGUAGGAGGGAGAGAAGAGGAGUAGGAGGGGGAGAAGAAGAGUAGGAGGGAGUGAAGAAGAGUAGGAGGGAUUGAAGAAGAGUAGGAGGGAAGUAGGAGGGAGAGAAGAAUAGUAGGAGGGGCAGAAGAAGAGUAGGAGGGAGGGAAGAAGAGUAGGAGGGAGGGGAGAAGAGUAGGAGGGAAGGACGAAGAAUAGGAGGGUGUGAAGAAGCAUAGGAGGGAG